AGUGAACGCUGGCGGUAGGCCUAGCACAUGCAAGUCGAACGGCAGCACAGUAAGAGCUUGCUCUUACGGGUGGCGAGUGGCGGACGGGUGAGGAAUACAUCGGAAUCUACUUUUUCGUGGGGGAUAACGUAGGGAAACUUACGCUAAUACCGCAUACGACCUACGGGUAAAAGCAGGGGAUCUUCGGACCUUGCGCGAUUGAAUGAGCCGAUGUCGGAUUAGCUAGUUGGCGGGGUAAAGGCCCACCAAGGCGACGAUCCGUAGCUGGUCUGAGAGGAUGAUCAGCCACACUGGAACUGAGACACGGUCCAGACUCCUACGGGAGGCAGCAGUGGGGAAUAUUGGACAAUGGGCGCAAGCCUGAUCCAGCCAUACCGCGUGGGUGAAGAAGGCCUUCGGGUUGUAAAGCCCUUUUGUUGGGAAAGAAAAGCAGCAGGUUAAUACCCCGCUGUUCUGACGGUACCCAAAGAAUAAGCACCGGCUAACUUCGUG
rnacentral:rRNA from 1 species